UGAGGAACAUGACCUUCGGCGGGGGAUAGCCGGCCCAACGGCCGGGUAAUACCGCGUACGACCACAUGGGGACAUCCCUGAGUGGUGAAAGCAGCAAUGCGCCGAUGGAGUGCCUCGCGGCCUAUCAGCUAGUUAGUGAGGUAACGGCUCACCAAGGCGACGACGAGUAGCUGGUCUGAGAGGAUGGCCAGCCACAUUGGGACUGAGACACGGCCCAGAUCCGUACGGGG
rnacentral:rRNA from 1 species